UGGGUAACCUGCCUUAUAGUGGGGGAGUAGCCUUUCGAAAGGAAGAUUAAUACCGCAUAAGAUUGUAGUAUCGCAUGAUAUAGCAAUUAAAAGGAAGCAAUCCGCUAUAAGAUGGACCCGCGUCGCAUUAGCUAGUUGGUGAGGUAAUGGCUCACCAAGGCGACGAUGCGUAGCCGACCUGAGAGGGUGAUCGGCCACAUUGGGACUGAGACACGGCCCAGACUCCUACGGGAGGCAGCAUG
rnacentral:rRNA from 1 species